rnacentral:rRNA from 1 species
AUGCUACUGUCUUGCUUUCUUUCCCAUUUCGAUAUAGAUGCUUCUUUUUGUUGGCUUCUGUGUCAUGCACCGUUAUUGACCAGUAAUUGUUUCCUUUGCACCUCUGUGUAA